GAUGAACGCUGGCGGCGUGCCUAAUACAUGAAAGUCGAGCGAACGGACGAGAAGCUUGCUUCUCUGAUGUUAGCGGCGGACGGGGGAGUAACACGUGGAUAACCUACCUAUAAGACUGGGAUAACUUCGGGAAACCGGAGCUAAUACCGGAUAAUAUUUUGAACCGCAUGGUUCAAAAGUGAAAGACGGUCUUGCUGUCACUUUGAGAUGGAUCCGCGCUGCAUUAGCUAGUUGGUAAGGUAACGGCUUACCAAGGCAACGAUGCAUAGCCGACCUGAGAGGGUGAUCGGCCACACUGGAACUGAGACACGGUCCAGACUCCUACGGGAGGCAGCAGUAGGGAAUCUUCCGCAAUGGGCGAAAGCCUGACGGAGCAACGCCGCGUGAGUGAUGAAGGUCUUCGGAUCGUAAAACUCUGUUAUUAGGGAAGAACAUAUGUGUAAGUAACUGUGCACAUCUUGACGGUACCUAAUCAGAAAGCCACGGCUAACUACGUG
rnacentral:rRNA from 1 species